CCAAAUAGAAUCAUACCGGAAAACUUUUUUGUUCGUUACAAGGAAAUAAGAAAUGCAAGAAAAUCAAAUCUAACAAACUUGAGUCGAACCAAAUACAAAAUAAAUACCAUUAGUUCAUGAACAUGGAAACCAAAAAAAAGUUCUUUCAGACAUGAAUCAAAGCAAAUCUAAAUCAAAUUUAGCUCCCGGAUCUCUGGAAAUCCAAAAUAAUUAAAGAACCACUUUAUCGUCUACAACAACAUUGCAAAAGAUCUCUAAAAAGCUUCAAAAUCGAAUCCAAAUCAGUUGCCAAAAGACCUUCAAACUUUUCACUUCGAAACCGAUUUCUUCCUUCAAAAAUGAAUCCUUCAGAUGCCAAAAACCCAUCAUAUUUGCAUUUUGAUUUCUUGUUCCACCGUAACCAUAUAUAGAACUUUUCACCUUCAAAAUCCCACAAUGAAACUCUUAUUAAGAAUAAAUAUGAACUUGAAAUAUUUAAGCUACAUAGAAACCCAAGACGAAGAAGGAUUCAAGACAAUGGAUUUGUAAAUAAUCAAAUACCCCAAAUCAACCUUCUUCAAAACUCUAUUCGUUAGGUUCUUAGACGUUGGAAAUAUUCAAGUCAUCGUGGUUUGACAGAAGAGAGUGAUGGAGGUCUCACUAGGUUUCCAUGGAAGAUUACAUCUUCUGUAUAUCGAGCUUUACAUGUGAGAGACAUGAAUUUCUAUUUUUUUUUAGGUGUUAGAAGAUUGGUGGAGACAAAGAGACGAAGGAGAUGAAGGGUUGCCGACGAUGGUGGAUUUUUCCGGCAAGCAUAGGUAUAGAAGAGAUGCGGCUGUUCUUUUAGAGAUCCAUGAAGAAAAGGUAAAAUGGAUGAAGAAAUGAUACAAAGGUUUGAUACAAUACAUCUUGUGGAGGGGUGAGAUGGUGGGACCAUCUAUAUAUUAAACAA
rnacentral:lncRNA from 1 species